rnacentral:lncRNA from 10 species
CCCCCUCCUUGCACCUAGCAGGGAGAGGAGUGUGCGGAAAGAUGGAGUUGAGACAGAAACUUGUUAGCAUAACACCGAAGGAGUUUUGCUGUGAGUAGCAUCAGCAUAGCAGGAGAACAUCCCUAGCUCUCCUGCCGCUGCUCUGCCACAAGGAGAGAAAGGGAAAAGCAAAUUCAGCAGGACCUCUAGGACUUUGCUGUAGAUCUCCAGGUGGAGCCAGGACCCUCCAGGAGAACUGAUGGCUAGAAAAGACUGCAAGUAAUGUGGAGGAAGGAAGAAGAGAGAGAGCAGAGAGAGAUGAUUCUUGCAAACAUUGAUCUGUGUAGAGCGGAUGUCAACUUGAUGGGAUAAGACCUGGGUUGACUUGGUAUCUGGGUUCAGGUCAGCAAACUCUAACGGCAUUUCCUUCUACUAGCAGACAGAUCUGCUCAUCCUGCGACAUUGUGGACAGUGCUGAAUGGCUUCCAGAACAUUCCUCUUAUGUCUACUGGUUAAACUUUGAAGCAUCUGAACCAUUUGGGAGAGCAGGGACCCCCAUGAACAGGAGAUACUGGAGGUGUCUGAGGCCACUUCAUGCCCUUUCUCAAGAGUGGCCUGCAGGUCUUUCAGCCACUGGCCACUGAAGUCCAGCUCCUGCCAGCCAUGGAUUUGGGCACUGGGCUCCAGUGUUGAGAAAGUUCUUGACUUCCAGCGCUUGUUUUCCUAGUGGACAAUAGGAGUCAGAGACAGAGAGGGAGAGUGAAGAUGCAGAAGACAUAUCCUUUCCAUUGUGACCCAGAUAAGAAUGUAGCCGGAAACAAGAAAAAAGCCUGCCAUGCAGAAAGUCACUGAGAAACCUGCUGGCCUCCAUGGUGGCACGUGGGGGAGGGAGGAGAAGAAAACUCCUGAAAGAAUGUGGACCACACAGCAUGCUCUGGUGGGUAUGUGGGCUGACAAAGAACAGGGAGCGCUAACAGUGAAAAUGAAGA